UUAUAAAGCAAUGAGACUGAU
rnacentral:ncRNA from 3 species